GGUCUUUCUGAAAUUCUCACGGAAGAAAACCAAAUUACAUGGUGCUAAUUGCUACCGCCGACAUUCCACCCCACCCAGACUCAAAAUAUACAUUAAUGUACACAAACACACCUAACUGAGGCUAACUCACAAUUGACUGACUUGACGACGCAAAGACGACGAAUACAAGAAUUUUAAACCAGGAAGUUGAAUAACCUCAACCGUUUAUUGAUAAAGCAAAAGCCUAAACGUUUUGGUGAGUUAAAAAUCAUUUCAUUUUUAGAUGUGAAGUGUUAAGUUGUAUAUUACUGAAGGAAAUUUCAUUUUAUACGCUUUAAAUUUGCUGUGUAAUUUUCACGGAACUAUGUAAUUGGCUGCUUCAGGAUCUUUAACGUUGAACAUGAGGCAACAGUUUUAAUAAGAAUAUAGUUUAAUAUUAUUGUUUAUUUAAAAAUGAAAAAAUA